rnacentral:rRNA from 1 species
AUAUUAAUAAGCGGAGGAAGAGAAACUAACAAGGAUUCCCUUAGUAACGGCGAGUGAAGUGGGAAGAGCUCAAAUUUGAAAUCUCUGGGGGUAACUUCAGCGAAUUGUAGUCUCAAGAAGGCUGUUCUGGGAUCCCUGCCGGCCUAAGUUCUUUGGAACAGGACAUCAGAGAGGGUGAGAAUCCCGUCUUUGGUUGCGCAGGAGGUUCCUCUACGUCAGUCUUUCUAAGAGUCGGGUUGUUUGGGAAUGCAGCCCAAAAUGGGUGGUAAAUUCCAUCUAAGGCUAAAUAUUGGCACGAGACCGAUAGCGCACAAGUA